rnacentral:tRNA from 1 species
ACCCGAGUGGCUCAGUGGGUUGAGCGUUUAACUUCGGCUCAGGUCAUGAUCUCUCAGUUCAUGGGUUCGAGCCCCAUGUCGGGCU